rnacentral:rRNA from 1 species
UACGAAGGGGGCUAGCGUUGCUCGGAAUCACUGGGCGUAAAGCGCACGUAGGCGGCUUCUUAAGUCAGGGGUGAAAUCCUGGAGCUCAACUCCAGAACUGCCUUUGAUACUGGGAGCUCGAGUCCGGGAGAGGUGAGUGGAACUGCGAGUGUAGAGGUGAAAUUCGUAGAUAUUCGCAAGAACACCAGUGGCGAAGGCGGCUCACUGGCCCGGUACUGACGCUGAGGUGCGAAAGCGUGGGGAGCAAACAGGG